AGUGAACGCUGGCGGUAGGCCUAACACAUGCAAGUCGAACGAGUGGCAGACGGGUGAAGAGUACAUCGGAAUCUACUCUGUAGGGGGGGAUAACGUAGGAAAACUUACGCUAAUACCGCAUACGAUGGAAUGCGCCGAUGUGGGAUUCGCUAGUUGGCGGGGUAAAGGCCCACCAAGGAGACGAUCCGUAGCUGGUCUGAGAGGAUGAUCAGCCACACUGGAACUGAGACACGGCCCAGACUCCUACGGGAGGCAGCAGUGGGGAAUAUUGGACAAUGGGCGAAAGCCUGAUCCAGCCAUGCCGCGUGUGUGAAGAAGGUCUUCGGAUUGUAAAGCACUUUAAGUUGGGAGGCGUUACCGACAGAAUAAGCACCGGCUAACUUCGUGCCAGCAGCCGCGGUAAUUC
rnacentral:rRNA from 1 species